rnacentral:lncRNA from 1 species
UUGAAACGGUCCAUUUCUAUGAGCAGUUGUUGUUCCCCUUAUAUGUCUAAUCAAAGAUAAGGCAUGACUCGUGCCAUCAGUUGGUCAAGAUUUUUCUGUUUUCCUUUCACUAUAUCAUAUUCACUUUUUUUUUUUCAACUUAUUACUGGGCCACAACGGGCCGGCCCAGUUGGCCCAUCAGCCUCACCGCAGGAGGCGCGUAUCGAAUCCGAGAUGCCUGGGAGAUUGACGUGGUACGCAGACCACCUGUCCUAGAAGCUCCCGACUAUCAUAUUCACUUAUCCAUUUUUUUUGUUAUUUACACCUCUAAUUAUUUUUAAGUACUAUAUAUAAACAUUUUCUUUAGUGCAUACACAUUAAAAAUUUCUCGCCAUAAAUCUCUCACCCAAAAUAUAACAAUAUUUAAUAAGAAUUUGUUUUGGAAAUGUUAAUAGUUGUAUGUCAAAAUCUCAAAUAAAAAAAAUUGGUAUGAGAUAAGUUAAAAAAAAAAAAUUGGUAUGAGUUUCACGGGUUUUUGAAAUUUUGAAAAAUUUCUAAUUAAAUAUUUAUACUUUGAUGAAAAACUCUAGCUGAAAGACUUUUAAUCCAGAUGGCCUUAUGACAUCUCAUCAAUUAGUAUAAUUUAUAAAAGUGACAAAGACAAAAAUAAAAUAAGUUUCUUACAAAAAAAUGAAAUAAGUUUUCAAAAUAAAUACUCGAAAAAUUAAGAGACACGUGCAAUACUUGGCCUUAUUUCAGUGUUAUAUAAAUUUUCUAUAACUAAAAAUUAAUUACAAAAUUAAAUUAUAUUAAAAUUAUUAAAAUAAUAUUAUUUUUAUGGAAUAAAGAUUGACACAAAUUAUAUUAAAUCUAAAUCCAACAUUGCGCUGAUAAAAAAUUGGGAUCUCCUAAUUAAUAGAUCCAGUAGAUUUAGAUUGAGUCCUGGAUGAUUUCUCCCUGCACUGACUACAAUUAGAAGAACCGAAAACUAUAGCUCUGAUUGCAAAGCGGUUUUAUCAGAAAACAUCCAGAGACAUCAUCCAUAUAGUCAAUGAUCUUGUGUUGAUUAAAAAUCUUCUUAGUAUUUUAUUAUUAAAAACGUUUCUGAUGUAAGUAAUACUAUUACAUUAGAAACGAAUUACGGAACAGUUCAAAACUAAAAAAUGGAACUGUGGAGUAGUUUAUUUUUGUCAACAAUUGUGGAGUAAUUUAAAGAAGUAAAAGUUCAGUUCUUAUUUCUUAUUUGUAUGAUCAUUAUUUCACAUCUUGCUCUCUCGAUAAACUAAUAAAUUAAGUAGAAACAAAAAAAAAAAUCCUAGAAUUAAAUGGAUGUGCAAGUUGGAGUGGGUACAGCACGAACAAAACGAAAAGAAUUGUCCCAUGCAUGACUUUAAUCGCUUUGGAGUUAGUUCUUCUAAAUCAAGAAUUAGUUUUAAUUGUCAAUGAAUAGUACCAACCAACAAGUAGUUGUAUCUAGGCCUGGAGUGGAUCGGGUAUCCGGACAAUUUUAAGAUAUCCGAUCUGGAUAUUUAUCCGGCAGAUCCAUAAUUUUACUAUCUUUAUCCGGAUCUGGGAUUCUCGGAUAUCCGGGUGUCGGAUAUCCUUCUAAAAAUUAUAAUAUCUAGCGGAUAUCCGGAUCCGGAUUUGGAUUCUUAAAAUAAAUAAAAAUUAAUAUUAAUAUAUAUAAAAUAUUAACAAUAAUUUAAAAAUAAAAAUAUUUAUAAUUUUUUUAACUAUUUCUAUGUAUAAUAUUAGAAAAUUUACAUAUAAUUUAUAUAUAUUAUUAUAAAAACGAAAAUAUAUUAAAUAAAAUUAGUUUUUAUAUAUAGAUAUUACUAUUUUUGAAAUAGUUAUUAAUAAAACUUACGGAUCCGGAUAUCCUGACUAAAAAAUCAAGAUAUCCGGAUCCGGAUUAAGGCAUGACUCGUGCCAUCAGUUGGUCAAGAUUUUUCUGUUUUCCUUUCACUAUAUCAUAUUCACUUUUUUUUUUUCAACUUAUUACUGGGCCACAACGGGCCGGCCCAGUUGGCCCAUCAGCCUCACCGCAGGAGGCGCGUAUCGAAUCCGAGAUGCCUGGGAGAUUGACGUGGUACGCAGACCACCUGUCCUAGAAGC